AUUGGAAUUGCCAAAAAGUGAAACAAGGGACAUUUCUGAGAGCAGAGUUAAGCAUACACUAGGAAGUUUGAAGCUAACUAUGGCUCAAAGAGGACAAGACAGAAAAAAAAGAGUAUCCACAGUGUGAUCACACAGGAGCACACAUCCUCAGCUGUAAGCAUGUGAAUUAUUUUAUUACUACAUUAAUGAAUUGGAAAACAUUUAUUGCUUUCAAUAUUGUCAGUUGUGAUAAUAGCAAGGUGUACUUAAGCAUGCUUGCUUGUAUUUAACUUCAAUCUACAGAAACCAGGACACCUGGAAAAAGGAAGCAGGGCCUGCUGUGGGCAAGCAAGGUAUUGAAAGGAGACAAAAGCAGAGGCUACUUUGAGCAUUUCUAACCAACCAAAUACAACGGGGCGGGGAAGAGUUAGAAAGACACCCACUUGUCUGUGUGGGUGUAUUUGUGUCCAAAAUGGGACAGGGAGACCCUGAUGGUCACUUCCUGUUUUGCAGGGAAGGACAGCUUCUAUCCCAACUACAAAUUCAAUUUCCAUUAUAUUUCAAAAUUAGAGCCAUUAAUCAGGGCUCCAUAAACAAUGGUAUUGACUACUCAGUAGCAAACAUGCAAUUCCUUUGAAAAGUUAGGGAGGGAAGAUUAACAACUAUUUCCUACAUAAGCUACUUCAAGAAGGAAGCAUAAGCAGAAUAACUGAAAUAGCCAGCUGAGCAUUUACCUUAUAUCAAUACAUAUUAUAAAAGCAUGAUUAUGCAAAAGUUCAUAUUUUCAGAUAAGAAUGGAAGCAGCCUUACAUGCUGAUUCUCCCUACAUUGCUAGAGAUAAAAAGAACUUUCGGAUGUACAGUACAGUGCAGCAUUCACUGUCCUGUUAUCCCUGUAGUGGGCUGCAAACAGACUACUUCUAAAGCUCUCCCACGUAGGAAGAUUGUCCCUGAAACAGAAUGACAUGUGGUUCAUAACCUCUUUUGCAUUGAAUCCUCAUAUUACCAGUGGUGUUAUUUUAGCAACAUGGCAGUGUAUACUGUGUGUGUACAUUACAGAAAUGUUCAUUCUGUUAUUAUAAAAUGUUUCAAUGGUGUAAUUUACUUUUCAUAUAUUAAAUUCUAGAAUGCAGGUUGGAGGAAUGUGGGGGGGGGGGGUUGCCUUUAAAGAGGCAACUGCUUCACUGCAAAGGAAUAAAGAUUGUGUAUGUCACUAAUUUAGGAUGAACUUGCACAACUGAGUAGGAUGGGUUUCCUUUUAGUCACAUAAUAAGGGUUAUUUUCCAGAGUAUUGUGGAUAUGUUUGAGAGUUAAAGCUAUUUUGUAUGUAUGCUAUCAGAAAUAUGAUUUAGUAAUUCCAAUUACACCCUAUAAUGAUAUAUUAGCCACAAUAAACAUCAAAAUGAU